AUUCUUUCUUUCAUCCUGUCUUCCAAAUCUGGUGUGUGUCUUACACAUACAGCACAUCUCAAUGUGGACUGGCCACAUUUCAAAUGCUCAUUGGCCACAUGCCAAUAAGUGCUAUUG